GCCUUCUUGUAUAAGCACUGUGCUAAAAUUACAGAAACUUUGAUUUCAUCUUGGUUUUUGUAAUAAUGCUAGCAGAGUACACACAAGAAGAAAAGUAACUGCACUAAAUUAGAAAAGACUAGGGUGGACCUCUUUCUUAAUGUCCAGUGUCCUUUGUCUUAAGAUUUGGUGCAAUACUG